rnacentral:siRNA from 1 species
UUGCUAGAUACCGUUUUGGACCGC